rnacentral:rRNA from 1 species
UAAUACAGAGGGGGCAAGCGUUGUUCGGAAUUACUGGGCGUAAAGGGCGCGUAGGCGGCCGCCUAAGUCAGACGUGAAAUCCCUCGGCUCAACCGGGGAACUGCGUCUGAUACUGGGUGGCUUGAAUUCGGGAGAGGGAUGCGGAAUUCCAGGUGUAGCGGUGAAAUGCGUAGAUAUCUGGAGGAACACCGGUGGCGAAGGCGGCAUCCUGGACCGACAUUGACGCUGAGGCGCGAAAGCCAGGGGAGCAAACGGGAUUAGAUACCCCGGUAGUCCUGGCCCUAAACGAUGAGUGCUUGGUGUGGCGGGUAUCGAUCCCUGCCGUGCCGAAGCUAACGCAUUAAGCACUCCGCCUGGGGAGUACGGUCGCAAGGCUG